ensembl:lncRNA
GUGAGUAUCCCUAACGAAUAUCUAAAAAUUCAGAGCCUCUAACCAACGUAAUUUCCGCAUGUCUGUUAUUUUGGUUAUUUAACCCUGGUAAUAUUGUGUGUCUUUAUGUACUUUCCCCUUAAAAAACUGUGUGUGUAGUGACGUGACUCCGCCCCGUCCAGUCCUGCUCAGCCUUCAGUCUGAAGGUCAGGGAGAUGUUAGCUAACCGACUUCACUUUGCAGUAGUUGUGGAAACAACAGACAGACUUUUAAUAACAGACACACUGUGACCUACUCUGUACAUUUACUUCCAGACUGACAACUUAUUACUCGCUUUCCGCAUCACUUUCUGCCGUUCUCUCACUCGCUCAGCCAUUGACUCGCUACGCAAAGAUGUUUUACAAGCACGAGAUAAAAUGACAGUGAACACACCAGUACAGAUAUGUAUAUAGUUGCAGAAUUCACAGAGUCCAAGACUGUAAAUAUUAUAUCAGACUCGUGGUUUGAAGAUGGUGUGACUUUGUGGCCAAACUAUAAAAGCGAUGAACGCAUCAACAGAGCUGUUCGAAAACAUGAGGUGCCAGGAUCAGACUGGAAAAUGUAUGACGUUCGAGUCCUCUCAAGAGCUGGUGAUUAUCAAAAAGCCAGAGAAAAGCUGAGGGCUUCGCUGACCUGUAAUACAUCGGAGUUACAUACAGAUGGCGAACAAGAAGUAGUAGUAGCUAGGAAAAGAAAAAUUAAGCCAAGGCUCAUCUUUGGUGAUACCGACUCUGAAAGUGAGCCAGAGGAGAGGAACAAUACAAGACCCACUUAUCUCUCCCUCACUCCAGCACCACCUAUUGCUCCACCGACUCCUAACUUCUCAGCAAGACCUCUGCCAGAUCCGAAUCAUGCUGAACUUCUUCAUUCCACUGCGGCUGCACCACUUGUUCCCGUCCCUCCACCUUGCAUGCCUUCAAGUCCUCCAUGCCAGAUUUCUGCUGGACCUCUGCCUGAUCUGAGGCAAUGUGAUCGUGGUAGUUACACAGCUCCAGUGGCACUUGUUCCUACCCCUACGUCUCGCAUGCCCUCAAGUCCUAGGCGCCGGAUCACUGCCACUCUCACAAAUGACUAUCAAGGCCAUUGUUUUGUCCCCACUUUUAGACUGGGGAGGACUGGCACUGGACCUGUUCCUUGCUCUGCGGCUGAGCUGCACAUUCUUACUUUGCUGGAACAUAUCAAGGAGCAGCAAAUGCAGCUGGCUGCUGCUGUAAAUAACAUUGCUGCAAGAAUGGGGACGGAAACUCCUAUGGCUGAGAUGCCUCAAAAUGUCAGUGUUCCGCUGGCCACCAUGUCUGAAGUGGAGGAGUUUGAGGAGUGGCUUAAAGAUGCAAGAAACUCGCAUGCUAAGCAAAACAUGAUUUCGGCUCUAGGUGCUGUAGGAGGACAGAACUCCAAAAGAGUAACUUGGAAUAUACUUUCAAGGAUUUUCUCAAACACAGUGGCCAAACAGAUUAAUUGGAAAGGAGUAAACG